CUACUACAGGUGAUGCAAUCUCCACAGGGACAAGGAGGAGCUGGAGGCAUUACCCCAUAUCAAGCAGCACAACUUGCUGGGCUCAUGAGACCUCAACGGUUGGAUUCCUGCAGCAAGUCAGAAGGAUGCUGAGACCUUGGUUGCUCCAUCACCUUUGAAAAUAAGAUGUAGUGUCCUGAAAUGCACCAAGAUUUUUGAAAGUGUAUUUUUACCUUUUGUGCAAUCCACAGCCAGUUACUACCAGUACAUGAUGUCUGAAACAAGCUAAUUUCAUCUGCUUUCCUGGGAUGCUGCAGAACAGUACCAGAAGUUAUUUGGAGACGCCUCAGGCUCCUGCUGUCACAGAGAGCAGGUGAGGAGCAGUAGCGUGUCCACCUACCUAACUGCUGGCAUCUGUAAUGCCGCCAAAAUACAGGCCUACACGUGGAGCACCAACAACUCCAGAGACGAGUGGGCUCCACGACGAAAAGGAGGCGGCACACGGAGCUCCUUGUGCUGCAGGCAGCUGUGUGCGGCCGGCGGGCGACACCGCGUGGCCAGCCCGGCCCCGGGCCCACUCCCUGCAGGAACCAGGAGGGCACAGGGUGCAGGAGAGCAGGGCUGGGGUUGUGGGCUGUGCCUCCCCUGCUAGCAAGGAGCCCCAGUAAAAGUAACAGGGGGAGCCUGGGCUUUCUGGGGUCUCCACUGCGUGGCUGUUGUUGCUGUGAAGCUGGGAGCUGCGCUGGGUUAAUUCCCAGGGAAUCCACAAUAAGCUUUCAUUAGCCAUCAAAGCCCUGAUGCACGUAGAUCUUGCAGCUCAGCAGUUCCUGUAUGGCUUUAGAAGGCAACCACCUGCGAGCACACAGCGUGCUUCCCAGGGAAUCCCACUGCACGUCUGCAGUGCUCCACUCUGCGGGCAGCCUGACUCUGGCCUCUCACACCUUAGUGCCUCCUUGUCCCCGUCCCUGUCACAGUCUCUGAGCCCAAUUCACAUUCUGGAAGGAAAAGCUGCCCAGCCUGGAAGUUAAUUACAAACUUUAAUUGUCUCCUGAUACUAAAAAGUGGCCUCUGAUUUAUUGCAGCCCAUCCUCUGGCUAACAUUUUGCCAGAAAUAGGUGACAAAGGGCUUUAUAACAGUGCUGCUGUGCUUGUCAAGCUAAGGAGAGGCAGGCACGGGCACUACCACAACACGCGUGCCUCACGGGGACAAGAGGACAGGAGGGAAGGCAAACAAAGCCAGGAUGCAGGCUGCGUUUGAAUUAGGUUAGCUCAAAGCCUGUAACUACAUUAACGAAAAGCAAUACUGAAAAUUCAACUGCAUCCCUAAAAUAAGAGACAGGAACUGCUGGAGUCUAAUUCCGAUUGCUGAACUUCAAAGCGAGGGGAUUUCAGUCUUGU